ensembl:lncRNA
CACUGGAGCUGCGAAUAUGUGAAUGAAUGGCGUUAAUAAUAAGGUUUGUUUCAUUUCUGCACAGAAUAAUGUCUUACAAAGAGAAAACACUGAACUGAAGAGGAAACUGCAGGACAAUCAUGGAGAUACGCAUCUUUAUGAGGACCCUGACACAGAGCAGACCAACUCACAUGUGAGAUUCAGCUCCAGUGGGGGUUUCCUGAGGAACACCUAAGAGAGAGAGCGAGAGCAGGAACAAGACUUCAAUAUGAAUUUUUAAUACUAAUACUGAUGCACAUACUAAUAGUAAUGCUGAUAUUUUUU